AUUGUUUUUAGAAAAAGUUUGAUCAGUUCACUAAAAGAUUUUGAACGUAAACCUUAUUUCUAGCAGUCCAACAUUGUAAAAAGGCUAUAUAUAAUCUGAUAGCAAUAUAUGAAGGAUCACACUCUCUAUUUUCUGAAAUCAUCUGCGUGCACUUCAAUUGCAGGAUAUAUGAUCGCCUAUGGAAUCAAUUAGAGUUAAUUGGAAAUGAGCAAGUUGUGCUGAUGUAGGAGUCACUGCAUACUCUAUAUGUAGAUACAUUCAUACGUAUAUGGUUGGCUAUAAUAUGGAAAGUUUAAAAAGUUAAAAUCCACAAAGCAUAAAGUAUAAAUAUGGAAUCUGGAAGCACUGAAAAAGCAUUGUAUUGAAUCUGGAUACUAUGUAGAGAGAAAAAUAAACACAAGAUACGAUCAUAAUGUUAAUAGACUACUGGUGUUGAUUCUAAGGUAAAAACAAAUUUUUCAAAGCAGC